AUUGAACGCUGGCGGCAGGCUUAACACAUGCAAGUCGAACGAGUGGCGGACGGGUGAGUAAUGCUUGGGAAUCUAGCUUAUGGAGGGGGAUAACUACUGGAAACUGUAGCUAAUACCGCGUACCAUAGGAUGAGCCCAAAUGGGAUUAGCUAGUUGGUGGGGUAAGGGCGCCCCAGGCCGACGAUCUCUAGCUGGUCUGAGAGGAUGACCAGCCACAAUGGGACUGAGACACGGCGCAGACUACUACGGGAGGCAGCAGUGGGGAAUAUUGCGCAAUGGGGGCAAGCUGAGGCAGCCAUGCCGCGUGAAUGAAGAAGGCCUUCGGGGUGUAAAGUUCUUUCGGUAGCGAGGCGUUAACUACAGAAGAAGCACAGGCUAACUCCGUGCCAGCAGCCGCGGUAAUUC
rnacentral:rRNA from 1 species